rnacentral:rRNA from 1 species
GAUGAACGCUGGCGGCGUGCCUAAUACAUGCAAGUCGAGCGAACAGAUCAGGAGCUUGCUCCCCUGACGUUAGCGGCGGACGGGUGAGUAACACGUGGAUAACCUACCUAUAAGACUGGGAUAACUUCGGGAAACCGGAGCUUAUACCGGAUAAUAUAUUGAACCUCAUUGUUCAAUAGUUAAAGUCGGUUUUGCUUUCAGUUAUAGACUGAUCCGCGUCGAAUUAGCUAGUUGGUAAGGUAACGGCUUACCAAGGCUACGAUGCGUAGCCGACCUGAGAGGGUGAACGGCCACACUGGAACUGAGAAACGGUCCAGACUCCGACGGGAGGCAGCAGUAGGGAAUCUUACGCAAGGGGCGAAAGCUUGACGGAGCAACACCGCGUGAGUGAUGAUGGACUUCGGAUGGUAAAGCUCUGUUAUUAGGAAAGAACAAAUGUGUAAGUAACUAUGAACGUCUUGACGGUACCUAAUCAAAAAGCCACGGCUAACUACGUG